UAGGGAAUCUUCCACAAUGGACGCAAGUCUGAUGGAGCAACGCCGCGUGAGUGAAGAAGGUUUUCGGACCGUAAAGCUCUGUUGUUGGUGAAGAAGGAUAGAGGUAGUAACUGGCCUUUAUUUGACGGUAAUCAACCAGAAAGUCACGGCUAACUACGUGCCAGCAGCCGCGGUAAUACGUAGGUGGCAAGCGUUGUCCGGAUUUAUUGGGCGUAAAGCGAGCGCAGGCGGAAGAAUAAGUCUGAUGUGAAAGCCCUCGGCUUAACCGAGGAGUUGCAUCGGAAACUGUUUUUCUUGAGUGCAGAAGAGGAGAGUAGAACUCCAUGUGUAGCGGUGGAAUGCGUAGAUAUAUGGAAGAAUACCAGUGGCGAAGGCGGCUCUCUGGUCUGCAAACUGACGCUGAGGCUCGAAAGCAUGGGUAGCGAACAGGAUUAGAUACCCUGGUAGUCCAUGCCGUAAACGAUGAGUGCUAAGUGUUGGGAGGCUUCCGCCUCUCAGUGCUGCAGCUAACGCAUUAAGCACUCCGCCUGGGGAGUACGACCGCAAGGUUGAAAC
rnacentral:rRNA from 1 species